rnacentral:lncRNA from 1 species
UUGUUUACAAUAUAAGUAUGUUUGUUCUGGAUAGGAACAUUUUGAGUAUAUACAACAUAUACAUUGUGUGUAAGACACUCAGGACAGGAACAAUCUAUAAGUCAGUCCGUACUUGAUAUGUAUAUAUCAGUGAUUUAAGGCAACUUGCAGGACAGUAAAAUUUGCCCAGUUUGAAAUUGAAAAUAUUUUCCACAGUAAUUCAAUUUUGCGUUUCACAAGAAUUGUGGUAUAUAAUGCGGUCUCUAAUGAACAAAGAGUCUGAAAUUGCAUUAUAAUUACAUGUUUGCUGGAUUUUUAAUUUCCGUUCAUUGUUUUCAUCAUUGUAUUUAAUCGCCCCUUGAGAAAGUAAAACUUAACAUUAAUUAGCAUAUUUAACAAAUGUUAUCCCUUGACUCAUAUUUGUGUUCAGUAUUUACAUACAGGAUAUAUUGUGUGUUUGUAAGUGAAUUAAA